rnacentral:rRNA from 1 species
AUGAGGACUUGCAGUCUCCUCAUCAUCAUUGCCGCCGUUGUUGCCGUGGCUUAUCCCGUUGCCACGUCCGCCCAAGUAGCCUGGUAUCCAAUUGGGGGCAUCAAUGAACCGCACGUCCAGGAGCUCGGUAGGUGGGCAGUGGCGGAGCACGUCAAGCAGGCGCACGAUGGGCUCAAAUUCAUCAAGGUGAUCAGCGGUGAAAAGGCGCCGGAUGCCGGUGUGAAAUAUCACCUCAUCAUCAAAGCAUUCAACAGCAACAACAAACCUGUUACAUACGAAGCGUUUUUGGUUGAGGAGAUUAGAAGCAACACACGCACCCUCAUCUCCUUUAGCCCCGUGAACUAA